rnacentral:rRNA from 1 species
GACGAACCGUGCGAACGUUGUUCGGAAUCACUGGGCUUAAAGGGCGCGUAGGCGGCUGCGCAAGUCCGGGGUGAAAGCCCCAGCUCAACUGGGGAAGUGCCUUGGAUACUGUGCAGCUCGAGCGAGGCAGGGGUAGUGGGAACUUCCGGUGGAGCGGUGAAAUGCGUUGAUAUCGGAAGGAACGCCGGUGGCGAAAGCGCACUACUGGUCCUCUUCUGACGCUGAGGCGACGGAAAGCCAGGGAGCAAACGGG